AUUGAACGCUGGCGGCAGGCUUAACACAUGCAAGUCGAGCGCGAAAACACCUUCGGGUGUGAGUAGAGCGGCGGACGGGUGAGUAACGCGUAGGAAUCUACCCAGUAGUGGGGGACAACAGUCGGAAACGGCUGCUAAUACCGCAUACGCCCUACGGGGGAAAGCGGGGGCUCUUCGGACCUCGCGCUAUUGGAUGAGCCUGCGUUGGAUUAGCUAGUUGGUGGGGUAAAGGCCCACCAAGGCGACGAUCCAUAGCUGGUCUGAGAGGAUGAUCAGCCACACUGGGACUGAGACACGGCCCAGACUCCUACGGGAGGCAGCAGUGGGGAAUAUUGCGCAAUGGGCGAAAGCCCGACGCAGCCAUGCCGCGUGUGUGAAGAAGGCCUUAGGGUUGUAAAGCACUUUCAAUAGGGAGAAAAGGCUCAACGUUAAUAGCGUUGGGAGUUGAUGUUACCUAUAGAAGAAGCACCGGCUAACUCCGUGCCAGCAG
rnacentral:rRNA from 1 species